AUUGAACGCUGGCGGCAUGCCUUACACAUGCAAGUCGAACGGCAGCACGGGUGCUUGCACCUGGUGGCGAGUGGCGAACGGGUGAGUAAUACAUCGGAACGUACCUUAUCGUGGGGGAUAACGCAGCGAAAGCUGUGCUAAUACCGCAUACGCCCUGAGGGGGAAAGCGGGGGAUCGCAAGACCUCGCGUGAUUAGAGCGGCCGAUGCCUGACUAGCUUGUUGGUGGGGUAAAAGCCCACCAAGGCGACGAUCAGUAGCUGGUCUGAGAGGACGAUCAGCCACACUGGGACUGAGACACGGCCCAGACUCCUACGGGAGGCAGCAGUGGGGAAUUUUGGACAAUGGGGGCAACCCUGAUCCAGCAAUGCCGCGUGAGUGAAGAGGGCCUUCGGGUUGUAAAGCUCUUUUGUCAGGGAAGAAACACCGGCUCUAACACAGUCUGGGAAUGACGGUACCUGAAGAAUAAGCACCGGCUAACUACGUGCCAGCCGCCGCGGUAA
rnacentral:rRNA from 1 species